rnacentral:lncRNA from 1 species
GAAACCCCAAUUCACACUUAGCCAGCUCAAGAAGGCCAUCCCCCCACAUUGUUUCCAGCGAUCCGUUCUCCACUCAUUCUCCUAUGUGAUUUCCGACCUCACAUGGGCAUCUCUCUUAUAUUACAUUGCUACCAAUUAUUUCCACCUCCUUCCUCAUCCUCUCUCCUACCUGGCCUGGCCAAUUUACUGGGCCUUCCAAGGUUGCAUCCUAACUGGCGUUUGGGUCAUAGCACAUGAAUGUGGCCACCAUGCCUUCAGUGACUACCAAUGGCUUGAUGACACUGUUGGCCUCAUCCUACAUUCCUCUCUCCUUGUACCUUACUUCUCCUGGAAAUAUAGCCAUCGCCGCCAUCAUUCUAAUACCGGUUCCCUCGAGAAGGAUGAAGUCUUUGUCCCCAAAACCAAAUCCAAACUCGGAUGGUACUCCAAAUACCUGAACAAUCCACUUGGUCGAUUCGUCACACUCACCAUUCAACUCACUCUAGGCUGGCCUUUGUACCUAAUGUUCAACGUUUCAGGCAGGCGCUACAGUAGAUUUGCUUGCCACUUUGAUCCACAUGGUCCAAUUUACUCAGAUCGUGAGCGACUGCAGAUAUACAUUUCAGAUGCUGGUGUUCUUGCCAUCACCUAUGGACUUUACCGUCUUGCAGUAUCAAAAGGUCUCACAUGGGUUUUGUGUGUUUAUGGAUGUCCCUUGCUGAUUGUGAAUGGAUUUCUGGUGCUGAUAACGUAUUUGCAGCAUACCCACCCGUCUCUGCCACACUAUGAUUCCUCUGAGUGGGACUGGUUGAGAGGAGCUUUGGCCACCAUGGAUAGAGACUAUGGAAUUCUUAACAAGGUUUUCCAUCAUAUAACGGAUACUCAUGUGGCACACCAUUUGUUCUCAACAUUGC